rnacentral:tRNA from 1 species
CGCAUCUUCGGCGUUGUGCUCGAAUCCUCUGGCAUAGGAUUUCAGAUAAUAGGUAAAAAGUGAUUCGUCGGUUCCAUCCGCUAGACGCGU